rnacentral:lncRNA from 1 species
UUGGAAAUCAUAAUUGAACUAAAACUCGUGCAAUCAUUCUUUUUGACAUCGUAAACUUCCUUGAACACCACUCUGGACACAUGAUUCUUUUGAGCCAUAACGUUACAGUACAAAAAGCAAGAAAAAGCAAUAGGUGGAUCAAAGAUGUUAGGCAUUAUUGGAGACGACAAAAUAUGUGGCAUUAUGGUGGAAAUCCAGGUAAUACAUUAAGAUAAAACAAAGAAAGAUAACAGUUGUUGGCGCUGGACUAUAGAUGGAGAAUGGUACAACGUGCAGUGCCUAUCGGAUCUGACCACCUUUGACAACACAAUAUAAAAAGCUAGGACAGAACGAAAAUAUAAUGCCACUACUUUUGCUUGUCAUUAAUUAUUUCUACUCAAUGGCAAGUAAUUUGAAUAAACACGGAUGACCGACUGGCGGGGUCUGCAAACUUUGUGGCAUGUAACCAAUUCCAGAACCAUAAUACUAAAUCCAUUUCAUCUUUCAGUCAUCAGUACAGUUGGUACUGGA